rnacentral:lncRNA from 1 species
GAAUUUUGUUUUACUUCCUCCUUAAUAUUCUAAAAUAGAUAGCCAACAAACUUCAUUUGUAUUAAAUCCAUGAUGCCAGCAACACCCAUAAGAAACACUUAUAUACCUCAUCAAUAUAUAAAAAUAAAACCAAUAGUAAGUUUUAUAUAUUUAUAACCCAAAACCAAAAAGAACAAACUAUACGAGAACAAAGUCUGAAUUUUGAACACCCCUAGUCCAUAUGCUUUAAAUAUGUCACUAGAUUUUGACCCGCGCUUCAAAAGCGCGGGUUAUUUUGGAUUAUAUAUAAAUUUUGAUAGGAAUAAUAUUUUGUGAUUAUUGUACAUUAUUAUAUUACGAAGUGUGUGAUAGAAAUAUUUUUGGGUAAUCAUUUGAGUUUUCGGGUAUGUUUUUGUGUAAGGUAUUUUUCGGGUUUUCGAGUAAUUUUCAAUUUUUUGGGUAUUUUAAAUCUUUUUCGAGUCUUAAAUAUUCGAACUGAUCCAGACCUAUUAUGUAUUCAAAUUACAGAUAUUUUAUAGGUAUUUGAAUUAUGGAUAUAAAUCUAUAAAAAAGACCAACCU